rnacentral:lncRNA from 1 species
UGAAUCUAAUAUUAUAAACCCAUCAGUUUGAUGGACUGAAUAUGAGUGUUAAAUUUCUGCAACCAUCUUCAGCCACCGCACCACCACCAGUGCCAAAAUACCCUAGUUAUAUCCACUUUAUCAAAUCCACCACCACUGCCAAAAUACCCUAGCUAUAACACUUUAUCAUAUUCGGUGAUGAAAACGGCACACGAAAAGGAAUUGUUCGAGUUUUUGACGGUAGAUAUAGACACCGUGAAGGAUCAGAACGAUCAGAUAGAGAAGGAGGUUUAAGAUCGAUAGGUAGUCAGUGACGUGUGGUCAUCAGAAUCAAUGAUGGAAACGACGCACGAUAAGGAGUUAUUCGAGUUUUUGAUUGUAGAUCUGGACGGCUUGACGGAUCAGAGAGAAAAAGAGGUUCAAAAUUACCGGGAGUAGUUGUCUGUUGCCGGCGGCACCCUUUGAAUACCCAACCUGGACUUUAAUUGGAAUUCGAAUAGCCAAAAGUUUUUCCAAUAAAUACUUUGCCUUCACUCCCAAAUAUAUUUAAUAUUUUAUUCCAACCUACACCGUUACCGGAGUUUCAGCGGAAACUCUCUCUUGCCGGAAAAACGCACAGCACAGUUUUGGUAAGUGAGUCUUGUAUUGUUUGAAGCGGGUUUGAACGUAGAUCAAAACCUCUAAUAUAAUUUAUAUAAACACAGCGUGAUGAUUGAAUGACACCAUCAGGUUUGAGAAAUAUGAAGAUGAGAGAUUCUAGGGUUAGGGUGGGAAUUGGGGAAGAUGUGUUUAUUUAUUAAUAAACAUGUAAAAUAAAAACAUGAAAUAACUAGAAUACCUUUAAGUGUAUAGACAUAACUGAAAAUUUUAACUUGGUUAGUGCUAAAGGACAAAAAGUGUAAUGCGUUUUCCAAAUAAAGGAUUGUAACUGUAAUUAUUAAAGUUAAAGGCUAUUCAUUGCAACCAACUACAAACAUAAAGGACGAAAAGUGUAAUUUACCUAAAAAGGAAAUAAAGAAAGUUUAGGAGAGAAAGGA